rnacentral:rRNA from 1 species
UGGGGAAUAUUGGACAAUGGGGGAAACCCUGAUCCAGCAAUGCCGUGUGAGUGAUGAAGGCCUUUGGGUUGUAAAGCUCUGUCAGGAGGGACGAAAUGCCCCGUAAGGGGAGCUGACGGUACCUCCAAAGGAAGCACCGGCUAACUCCGUGCCAGCAGCCGCGGUAAUACGGAGGGUGCAAGCGUUGUUCGGAAUCACUGGGCGUAAAGCGCGUGUAGGCGGUUUUUUAAGUCGGAUGUGAAAUCCCUCGGCUCAACCGAGGACGUGCAUCCGAUACUGGAAAACUUGAGUAUCGGAGGGGAUGGCGGAAUUCCUGGUGUAGAGGUGAAAUUCGUAGAUAUCAGGAGGAACAUCUGUGGCGAAGGCGGCCAUCUGGAAGAUAACUGACGCUGAGACGCGAAAGCGUGGGGAGCAAACAGG